CAGGUUUACCUGUGUGACUGCGUACCUUUUGUAUAAUGGGUCAGCGACUUAUAUUCUGUAGCAAGGUUAACCGUAUAGGGGAGCCGGAGGGAAACCGAGUCUUAACCGGGCGUUAAGUUGCAGGGUAUAGACCCGAAACCCGGUGAUCUAGCCAUGGGCAGGUUGAAGGUUGGGUAACACUAACUGGAGGACCGAACCGACUAAUGUUGAAAAAUUAGCGGAUGACCUGUGGCUGGGGGUGAAAGGCCAAUCAAACCGGGAGAUAGCUGGUUCUCCCCGAAAGCUAUUUAGGUAGCGCCUCGUGAAUUCAUCUCCGGGGGUAGAGCACUGUUUCGGCUAGGGGGCCAUCCCGGCUUACCAACCCGAUGCAAACUGCGAAUACCGGAGAAUGUUAUCACGGGAGACACACGGCGGGUGCUAACGUCCGUCGUGAAGAGGGAAACAACCCAGACCGCCAGCUAAGGUCCCAAAGUCAUGGUUAAGUGGGAAACGAUGUGGGAAGGCCCAGACAGCCAGGAUGUUGGCUUAGAAGCAGCCAUCAUUUAAAGAAAGCGUAAUAGCUCACUGGUCGAGUCGGCCUGCGCGGAAGAUGUAACGGGGCUAAACCAUGCACCGAAGCUGCGGCAGCGAACGUAUCACUUAAAGCGAUUCAGCGGGUUACGAUUGACGGAGCGAAGCGACGUCAAAGCGUAUACAAAGUCGAGUCGGUUUAAGGAUACGUUCGUUGGGUAGGGGAGCGUUCUGUAAGCCUGUGAAGGUGUGUCGUGAGGCAUGCUGGAGGUAUCAGAAGUGCGAAUGCUGACAUAAGUAACGAUAAAGCGGGUGAAAAGCCCGCUCGCCGGAAGACCAAGGGUUCCUGUCCAACGUUAAUCGGGGCAGGGUGAGUCGACCCCUAAGGCGAGGCCGAAAGGCGUAGUCGAUGGGAAACGGGUUAAUAUUCCCGUACUUGGUGUUACUGCGAAGGGGGGACGGAGAAGGCUAUGUUGGCCGGGCGACGGUUGUCCCGGUUUAAGCGUGUAGGUGUGUGUUCCAGGUAAAUCCGGUUCACUUUAACACUGAGGCGUGAUGACGAGGCACUACGGUGCUGAAGCAACAAAUGCCCUGCUUCCAGGAAAAGCCUCUAAGCAUCAGGUAACAUCAAAUCGUACCCCAAACCGACACAGGUGGUCAGGUAGAGAAUACCAAGGCGCUUGAGAGAACUCGGGUGAAGGAACUAGGCAAAAUGGUGCCGUAACUUCGGGAGAAGGCACGCUGACAUGUAGGUGAAGUGAUUUACUCAUGGAGCUGAAGUCAGUCGAAGAUACCAGCUGGCUGCAACUGUUUAUUAAAAACACAGCACUGUGCAAACACGAAAGUGGACGUAUACGGUGUGACGCCUGCCCGGUGCCGGAAGGUUAAUUGAUGGGGUCAGCGCAAGCGAAGCUCCUGAUCGAAGCCCCGGUAAACGGCGGCCGUAACUAUAACGGUCCUAAGGUAGCGAAAUUCCUUGUCGGGUAAGUUCCGACCUGCACGAAUGGCGUAAUGAUGGCCAGGCUGUCUCCACCCGAGACUCAGUGAAAUUGAACUCGCUGUGAAGAUGCAGUGUACCCGCGGCAAGACGGAAAGACCCCGUGAACCUUUACUAUAGCUUGACACUGAACAUUGAGCCUUGAUGUGUAGGAUAGGUGGGAGGCUUUGAAGCGUGGACGCCAGUCUGCGUGGAGCCGACCUUGAAAUACCACCCUUUAAUGUUUGAUGUUCUAACGUGGAUCCGUAAUCCGGGUUGCGGACAGUGUCUGGUGGGUAGUUUGACUGGGGCGGUCUCCUCCUAAAGAGUAACGGAGGAGCACGAAGGUUGGCUAAUCCUGGUCGGACAUCAGGAGGUUAGUGCAAUGGCAUAAGCCAGCUUGACUGCGAGCGUGACGGCGCGAGCAGGUGCGAAAGCAGGUCAUAGUGAUCCGGUGGUUCUGAAUGGAAGGGCCAUCGCUCAACGGAUAAAAGGUACUCCGGGGAUAACAGGCUGAUACCGCCCAAGAGUUCAUAUCGACGGCGGUGUUUGGCACCUCGAUGUCGGCUCAUCACAUCCUGGGGCUGAAGUAGGUCCCAAGGGUAUGGCUGUUCGCCAUUUAAAGUGGUACGCGAGCUGGGUUUAGAACGUCGUGAGACAGUUCGGUCCCUAUCUGCCGUGGGCGCUGGAGAACUGAGGGGGGCUGCUCCUAGUACGAGAGGACCGGAGUGGACGCAUCACUGGUGUUCGGGUUGUCAUGCCAAUGGCACUGCCCGGUAGCUAAAUGCGGAAGAGAUAAGUGCUGAAAGCAUCUAAGCACGAAACUUGCCCCGA
rnacentral:rRNA from 1 species